UGGAGUGCCUUGGUGUGUGUUUUUCCUGACAGAAGUUCAGAUAUUAGACUUGAUCCAUGACACACAGCUCGGUUGUCCUGCACAACAUGGAUAGUACUCUUAAGAUUUUGCUUCUGGCAGCCUGACUCUGGUGGUUUCUGCUCAGACUUUUGAUAACUACAGAAGUUUGUCUGAUAAUUUACGAACACAUAUAGACAAGGCUCUGAAAAAGGCGAACGAAAACUUUGGAUCGCGUUAUCAUGUUGCUUUUCAUUCAAUCAAAGGAGAACCGAAGCUUAGGAAGAAAGACUUGUAUGUAAAUGUCCUUCUGCAAGUCACAAAAUGCAAGAAGUCUUCAGACAACGCAUAUGAGCACCGAGAUGAAUGCACUACAAGAUUCAAUAAAUCGCUGCUGAUUGAUUGUCUUGUGUGUAAGACAGAAGAUAGUGAAGAUCUGGUGGACUGUGCUUGGUGGUUUGAUGUCAUAAAGGUAUGUAUACUGCAGAAGAUUUAUAAAUACACACCACAACCAAAAUAUACACAUCAUCAGUACAGGUUAUAGAACUUAUGUGUCUAAUAAAUGAUAAUUGUUUCUUUUACAGAAGUGGCCUGAUACACGGAAUAAAUGUCUUAAAUAUUUAAUUGGAAGUCCAGUUGCACACUGAGAAGCACAAAAUUAAAACUAUAUUCUAAAAGUGUAAAACAAUAUAUACAAGUAAAAAGUGAUUUGCUUGAGUAGUUCAUAAAGUUCUAGACAAAUGAUGUUCAAGUUUAUGAGACAAUGUUUAGUCAUGAUUACAUACAGCAGUAAAUAAUGGACAUUACAAAAGGAGCUUUUUCUGACUUCAGGUUUUUAUGUUAUGUAUCGCUCAUGCUUAUCCCGGUACGUGCUUUCCCACCGGCACUCUCUCAACGGCUGCUCUUUUCUUCCCAAUGCGCAUCGCGGAUUCCCCCGA